CCAGAGCUAUCACCGGGCCUCAUGGGAGAUGUGACUACAGCAUCGGACAUGGGACUGUUUGUUCACUCACUUUCUGUGAAGAGAGUUUUGAACUGUGUUUUGAAUAGACAGCAUUUUCUUUGUGUGGUUGGUAAAUAACACAGAGCAAAGUUAGUCAGCAAGUUGCAUAGCUUCUGCAUUCUGAUUCUUUGGAGCCCUUUUGUACCAAGCUUGACAGGAUGUUUUUAACAGAAUGUGACCUCACUGGAAUACCAGAGCAGACAAUAAGCAGAUCAGAUCCAGUUGUUCAUCCAAGUCCUAGGAGCAGCAGCGUGAGUAUCGGAGCGGUGGCAAACCCAGCAAGACCGGGCAACCUUGCGGACAGCCAUCCUCAGUCCCCGGCUGAAGUGCACCAUGAUAGUUGCUCAGAGGAGCUGAUGCUGACAGAUGCACAAACACAAGAAAAUAUUCUGUAUUUACAAUGGCAUAUAGAAAAUAUAUAAGUGGUAAGUGGUUUCCAAUAUGUGGCUGAGAUGUGCUUGUACUUUGGAAGUACUUCAUUGUACGUACUGAAAGCAAGAUCUUUCAGGAGUAUCAGAUUCUGGCAUGAUAUUUG
rnacentral:lncRNA from 1 species